rnacentral:sRNA from 1 species
UCAUAUUAUUACUGUACGCCCUAGUGGGCAACCCCUCCCAAUGAGGGUAUUCAGGGGUGCUGGUUCCUCUGGUAGUACAGGAUCCAUCGGUUGACAACAGAUGUGACUUCUUGGGGAGGAAGAGGAAGUAAAUUUGCUAAGGGAAUCCUACAUCUUCGGUAAUUUCUUGGAGGGUUUCAAGAAAGACCCAAAGAAAACAGCUAAAGUAUAAAGAGAAGGCCAGUUCACCACUUCAGGAGAAAUCCAGAAUUUUGUGAGGUGAUUUGAGGAAGAUGUUAAGCAGCAUAUGGAGCAAGAAGCAGAGGUCCAGACACUGAGGUCAUCCUUCCUACUUACCCACCCUGGCCUGCAGAGACGCGCCAAAGCCUGAACAUUCUGCCUCGUGGCCCUGAAUGAUAGCGAUAACGAGAACUAGAGCAUCAUGGGAGAAGCAGAGCAUCAUGGGAGAGGGUCAAGUCAGAGUCUGUGGCUAUUAAAUCAGUUCCUGACUUUC